CCCUCCAGCCUCUGCGCACAGCGCGCAUGCGCGGCCGAGGGGCGGUGAGUGCGCGGAGGGCCGCGCCUGCGGGCGGUAGGGGAGGUGGGUGUGCGGCGGUGCCGCUGUGGGGAAUGUGCGCUGCUUUGCCCCCGUCUCCUCCCUGCGGCCGUGGUGUGCUGAGGUCCUGCUGACGGGCUGUGUCUCCCCGGGGCAGGGAGAGUUUUGGUUUUAGAAACGGGGCGCUAUCCUGAAACAGCAAUUUCUCCUUUGAUCUCCAGAGAAAUAUCACCUCACUUCUAAAGUUUUUCAAUCUUCUUAGUGACCCUAAUACAAAAUUGUCCUGGUGUUGUGGAUCGCAGCAGUUUAUUUUGAAGAAUGAGUUGAACAGAUAUAUAGGAAGCUACAUGAUGUAAAAAAACACUUCUUCCUAUUUUGAAUAGUUACAGGGAUGAACUGAAUAAAGGUAAUAGAAUAAAAGAACAAUACUUGUCAUCUUACACUUGGAAAUCAAAAACUAAAUGUCACCUCCACUGUAGUUCUUACCAGGAGAACUCUAUCUCAGUGUUUCAAUGUGUUCUGACCCAAACAGAGGCAGGCCCUCCUGCCUGAGUGCAAGGUCUGACCUUCAUCUCUGGUAAAGAAGUCAUUGUUUCCCUUCUCUGAUUAAGUAUUAUCAUGUGUUUAAAAUAAAAGAUUUGUAGAGUAAAAAUCAUAUUGCAAACUCUUUAGUAAGCAGUGACUUGCAUUGUGACUUGUUUUGGUUGCAUUACUCAUGCAGAUUGUUGCUAAAUUAGAAUAAGAAGCUCACAGUAAGGCUCAUGGUUUCAUAAGAAGGACUUAGCAGUGUUAGAAAUAAAAAUUGCUCAAAAUCCUUUAAAUCAAGCCAGACAGAGUAGUCUUGCUUUGUUUUUUUUGUUUUUUUUUUGUUUGUUUGUUUUUUCCUAAUGCCAAAAUAGUUUGCUUAAUGUUGUAGUUCCAAACCAACUUGUAGAACUGUCAAUAUUUUUUCUAGAUCUGAACUUUCAGAUCGUGACCUCUGACUCACCCAAUGACAAUGAGUGCAGUUUCAAACUGCUGCAGUCCCCAUCAGUUCAGCAUCUCUCUUGUCAGGGAAAAGUCUCACCUCCCACAGAUAUUAUUCCAAAUGAAGUGUCAGAUCCUGGAGGACAAGUUGAGGUCAGCUUAGUUUUCUUGCUACAACAGUUUGAGUUCAUGUAGCCCUUACUAUAAAUUGAAGUAUAAAAUUGCAACUCUAAAAUUACCACCGCCUCCCCUUUCAGAGCCUUAAGAUUGUGUAUGUUGCUUGAAGAAAAUUAUCAGAAGAGAUACUUCUAUGAAGACUUGUCAUUGUUUUAUGGUGAUAGGUGUUUUGUUGUUUUUUCUUUGUUUGUUUGGGAUUUUUUGGGGCAGUUUUUAACUCUGUACAACUCUGGUCCAUUUUAAUAGAUGCACUCAUUGAUGAGGAAUAUAUUCUAUUAGUAAUUAAACAUAACUGUGCUGUGAGCUGCAAUUUGCAUUUGUUAAGCCAAACCGAAUGUCUCUGGCCUCUUAAGAAUAAGCGGGGAAAAACUUCAUGUAUAUGAAGUAGGAGUGUGGAAUCAAAGUAACAAAAUAAAGUGAGUAGGGUCUGAGAGAGAACAAUUGGAUAAUUAGAGUUGGAGAUUGCUUUGAAAUUACACAUGUUAACAGAUGAAGAUGCAAAAUAACAUUGUUGCUUGGAGCAUUCCUAGCAGUUUGGUGGUAACUUCCUUUUAGGUAACAAUUUUCGCAAGUCAAGAAGUGUUUCAUGCCAGGCAGUAUUUCUUUGCUAACAAGGGGAGAUAAUAGAAGGGCUCAUGCCAGUGGCUGUCACUCGUACAGAACAGAAUUAUAGAAUCUCCAAGGAUGGAAAAGACCUCCAAGGUCAUCCAGUUUAACUGCUCACCUGUCACUAAUAUUUCCCAAUAAACCAUGUCCCUCGGUACAACAUCUAAGUGUUUCUUGAGCACCUCCUGGAUGGCAACUCCACCACU